rnacentral:rRNA from 1 species
UACGUAGGGGGCGAGCGUUGUCCGGAUUUAUUGGGCGUAAAGAGCUCGUAGGCGGUUUGGUAAGUCGGAUGUGAAAUCUCCAGGCUCAACCUGGAGGGGUCAUUCGAGACUGCUAUGACUAGAGUUCGGUAGAGGAGUGUGGAAUUCCUGGUGGAGCGGUGAAAUGCGCAGAUAUCAGGAGGAACACCCGUAGCGAAGGCGACUACCUGGCCUGUUCUUGACGCUGAGGCGCGAAAGCUAGGGGAGCAAACGGG